rnacentral:rRNA from 1 species
CCUACGGGAGGCAGCAGUGGGGAAUAUUGGACAAUGGGGGGAACCCCGAUCCAGCCAUGCCGCGUGUGUGAAGAAGGCCCUCGGGUUGUAAAGCACUUUCAGUGAGGAAGAACGCCUGGUGGUUAAUACCCAUCAGGAAAGACAUCACUCACAGAAGAAGCACCGGCUAACUCCGUGCCAGCAGCCGCGGUAAUACGGAGGGUGCGAGCGUUAAUCGGAAUUACUGGGCGUAAAGCGCGCGUAGGUGGCUUGAUAAGCCGGUUGUGAAAGCCCCGGGCUCAACCUGGGAACGGCAUCCGGAACUGUCAAGCUAGAGUGCAGGAGAGGAAGGUAGAAUUCCCUGUGUAGCGGUGAAAUGCGUAGAGAUCGGGAGGAAUACCAGUGGCGAAGGCGGCCUUCUGGACUGACACUGACACUGAGGUGCGAAAGCGUGGGUAGCAAACAGGAUUAGAUACCCGGGUAGUC